UGCCAGCCGCCGCGGUAAUACGGAGGGGGCUAGCGUUGUUCGGAAUUACUGGGCGUAAAGCGCGCGUAGGCGGGCUGUUAAGUCGGGGGUGAAAUCCCGGGGCUCAACCCCGGAACUGCCUCCGAUACUGGCAGCCUAGAGAUCGAGAGAGGCGAGUGGAAUUGCGAGUGUAGAGGUGAAAUGCGUAGAUAUCUGGAGGAACACCGGUGGCGAAAGCGGCUCACUGGGCCGUCCCUGACACUGAGGUGCGAAAGCUAGGGGAGCAAACGGGAUUAGAUA
rnacentral:rRNA from 1 species